rnacentral:sRNA from 1 species
GCCAGGUGCAGUAGCACACACCUGUAAUCCCAGCAACUCAGGAGGCUGAGACAGGAGGAUCUCAAGUUCCAGGCUAGCUUGGGCAACUUAGUAAGACCCUGUCUCAG